CCUGCACUCUGAGAACAGUAUUCUAAAACCACAUAUUUUAGAAUUUUAGCAGUUCUUUUAAUAUCAAGUUUUAUUUUCCCUGGAAAUCAACAUUAGAGAUUCUCAAAUUUUUAUAUUUGAGCCCUAGUUUCCUCUUCUCUUUACCCUCUGUCCAUCGUUAAUUUCUUCUGCUCUUCUCUCGACCCUUGUGCGUAGAAGAAACCCGCCUCUCUCCACUAAAGAUUUGAGAGCUCUCAUUUUAAUAAUUUGAUUGAAAGGAAAAUUGAUAUCCUCUAUUGAAAUUACAGGAGAUAGUUACACGAAUCCAUCAAAAAUCUCCUUGAAAAGGUGGGUUUACUAGUCCGGAGAAACUGAUUUCUCUACUACAGUGACUUGAAAUCAAGUUUUCUCGCUCUCGGUUUUAAUAUCUGCAGUUUCAACAUGGCUACGGCUUCAGUCACCUUCAAAUCAAGGGAAGAUCACAGAAAACAGCUUGAAUUGGAAGAGGCACGUAAGGCAGGGCUUGCACCUGCCGAAGUGGACGAGGAUGGAAAAGAAAUCAACCCUCACAUUCCACAGUAUAUGUCUUCGGCGCCAUCUGA